GACAGUCACAACUCUAGGUUUGACUGUAAACACACCUGUUGUACAGAGGACAGUCACAACUCUAGGUUUGACUGUAAACACACCUGUUGGACAGUCACAACUCUAGGUUUGACUGUAAACACACCUGUUGGACAGUCACAACUCUAGGUUUGACUGUAAACACACCUGUUGGACAGUCACAACUCUAGGUUUGACUGUAAACACACCUGUUGGACAGUCACAACUCUAGGUUUGAUUGUAAACACACCUGUUGCACCGAGGACAGUCACAAUCCUUUUCUGUUACUCGUCCCAUCUUUACUGAACUCAAUUGUGACUGAAUAGUUGUUGUACAGUUUUUAUAAUGUUUGUGUAAACUGUACUCCAACUAUUGCCUCACGAGACAGUUUAUAACGGACAGCUGUCCUGCUCCAGUUGUGUGUAUAUAUAAAGUUACAUUAUUAUGAAGGGAAAUGAAUUGAAGGGCAUUUUGACUUCAUGUGUGUAGGAAUGGAUAUGAUUGAGUUGAUAUAUUAUUGUAAAAUGUUUUUUCUGUUGGGAGGUGUACAGUAUACUGCAUGAUUAUAAACGAUUCAUCUCUGUUGGGAGGCAUAUAUUGAAUAUAUCUUCACAGUCCUCAUGUUUUCUGUUGGGAGGCUUACACUGUUAAUAUCUACACAGUCCUCAUGUUUUCUGUUGGGAGGCUUACACUGUUAAUAUCUACACAGUUCUCAUGUUUUCUGUUGGGAGGCUUACACUGUUAAUAUCUACACAGUCAUGUUUUCUGUUGGGAGGCUUACACUGUUAAUAUCUACACAGUCCUCAUGUUUUCUGCAGUGGGGGUACACCCCAAAUUAAUCCCUAUAUAGUGAGCCCAUAGAGCGCUGGUUAGAAGUAGUUCACACUACAGGGGAUAGGAGGCCAUUUUGGACGGACUCCUUGUUGUUGUUGUUCUCCUGUUGGUUUCCAUGGUUUCACUCUAUACCUCCUUUCUUACUGCCGGAUACAAAACAGCUGUGGUGACAAUGUCUUGCUGUUGAUCGAUGUACCGUCGUUAUUUUAUCAUCGUGUAUGUAUGUUUGUUCUCGGUCAACUUAAAUCUCAAUAAACUAUGUGAAUAAACUGAA